CACUGGCUGAGUGUGCUGUAGGCGGAAACAGAGGUCUUAAGACAAAGUCUGGGGAAGGUGCAGCUUUUAGAAGGGCAUGGGGCUGUGUCUGGGGUGGGCAGGAGAGUGGAGGGAACCGAAGUGAUUUCCUGCAGACCGGGGCUGGGAGAUGGGGCCUUGAUCAGCGGCACAGCCCAGUGCUGAGCAAGCCCAGCGCAGUGCUGGCCCACCCGCCCACCCUCAGGCCUUCAGCUUCCUGCAAGUCACAGCUUCCCCUGGGAAGGUCGCCAGGAGAGCCAGGGCAGCGCCACUGCUCGGGCUCGGGCUCGGGCUCGGGCCACAGCCUGUUCCCGGGAGCGCGGUCUGUCCUCCACACACAGCCACCCCCGCAGGCAAGCAGCUCUUCGAAGACUCGUGCAAUAAAUCAUACACAGGAACAACAACAUCCGGCUCAGGGGGAAAGCCAGCUGUGGUGGUGUGCACUUGUGAUCCCAGCGGCUCUGGAGGCUGAGGCAAGAGGACUGCAAGUUUGAGGACAGCCUGGGCAACUUAGUGAGACCCUGUCACAAACAACAGCAACAAAGACACAAAACAGCCAAACAGGGCCAAGAACAGGCAAAGUCGGUGGCAGGGCAGUGGACCAGUCAGACCCACAACCCGCUGGUCACUCCCUACCCACUUCCAGGCACUUCCUCCCGCCCUCCUCUGCUUCCUGGCAGGCUCAUCUUAGGAGUGCUGUCUUAGGAGUGCUGUCUUGUGAAGGGGCUGCUGUCUUACCUGACAGACUGGAGCCUGUGGGUCCUCAAAGUGCUGGUGUACGGGGGCAUCAACUACAGCUUUUGAUUAAUGAGCACUAGCCGGGGUUCUUAGGUUCUGCAAUCUCAGUCUCCUUUACCCAGAUGUUUGUUGUUCUAGACACCAGAAGGUGACACAGGGCUGGGGGAGGGCGGGACAGCAGAGCCCUGACCUGCAGGAGGAUUGGAAGUCACAAAGGAGAAAAGUGGAUUAAUUUUUGUCCUUUGAAACUUCCUUUUGAUUCCUGGUAAUGCUGAAGUGCUUCAGAUCAGUCCUCCCAAUGAACCACUUAGAAAGCUGAGUGGAAUAGAAGAAACCUUCCUGACAGCAUCAACGGGCCAACAAGAGAGGAAGGAGUUGCUGGGGCCGAGCUCAGGAAGUGGCUAGGAGCCCAGAGAAGCGGGCCUGGCCCCCUGGAGUUUGCUAAUCCACAGCAGGGCAGGGCAAACUGGGCUUUGAGUGCUUCAUGGGGUGGGAGCGAAAGCCAGAGUCUAGGGACCCUGGGCACAGAGCUUGACCAGCUGCCUGCUCUGGCCAGACCUAGAAGGACCUCACCGCACAAAGACGGGGGAAACAAAGGCCUUGAGUGUGGAUCAAGGGAAUUUCCGAAGCAUCAGGUUCCCCAGACACCUGGCAAAGAGGAAGAAAGCCCUCCUCGGGAAAGAGAAUAUCCUCCCAGCCUCACCAGUCUGGAGACACCUUUGCAAACAAUGCUUGGCACACAGCAAAAAAUGACCAGACAGGUGGGGAGCUGGCUCCAAAAGGGACCAAUCAGAGCCACCGAACCAAAGGCAUGCAAAUUACCGGAAUUCUUGAAUUUUCCUCAAAUGGGAGCUUAUUGUUUUGGUGUGAGUAUAACUACACCCAUGAAAGGAAAUGACCUAUGGAAAAUACAAAGCACAAACCACAGAGCUAGAAAGAAGCCACUGCUUCGUGGGCAGUGUCUGGCAGUGGCAAGAACCACUGGGCCCAAGAGGUGAGAACAGCCCCAGCUGCCCCAGGAGCCUGCAUAGGCAGAUACACCGGGGACAGCGGAAGCGCCGGGACCUGCUGACCGGCUGGAGCUGGACCCUGAGGUUCGGCAGAGCCGGCUGGGACCUAAGUGUCCUGCAGGAUGCACGUGGUUUACUGCAAGCUGCUGUCGGAGGGUCCGGCCUCUCCCGCCGGCCCAUCUUCCUGUCCACCUAGUGGGCUGGCCGUGCGGGCCGGGUAAGAGUGAGUGACAGGGUGGCGGCCGGCUCGGCCAGGCUCCGCUGCUGGGGCUGUUUGGAAGCCUUUACUCUGGGCUCCGGCCCGGUCUCCCGAAAGGCCGGCUUUCCAAGCUGGGGGUGUUGGACCCGUCCGGUCCUGUAGGACCGGUCUCCCGGCUGGCGCGGGCAGAGGUCGGGCUGGACCCGGGGACCUCGGGAUCCACGGCUGUCCGGGCCGGUCGCCCGAACCCGGGCUCGGCCUGGAGCGACCCGGGCUCCGUCUCCGACUCCGAGAAAGCCAGGAGGGCGGCCCAGACCGGCGCCUGGGG
rnacentral:lncRNA from 1 species